UGGUACUUCAAAAUUAUGGGUCUUACAGAAUCCUAUCAGAACUCGACAGUUAAGCGUGCUUGGGCGAGAGUAUUAUUAGUAUGGGUGACCUCUGGGGAAGUCUUCGUGUUGCACCCU
rnacentral:rRNA from 1 species